rnacentral:rRNA from 1 species
GACGAACGCUGGCGGCGUGCCUAACACAUGCAAGUCGAACGGAGUGUUGCGCUGAAUUUGAUAGUAGCUUGCUACAGGAUGAUUCUUGUAACACUUAGUGGCGGACGGGUGAGUGACGCGUGAGCAACCUGCCUUACAGAGGGGGACAACAGUUGGAAACGACUGCUAAUACCGCAUAACAUUCCGAGUGGGCAUCCACAUGGAAUCAAAGGAGCAAUCCGCUGUAAGAUGGGCUCGCGUCCGAUUAGGUAGUUGGGGAGGUAACGGCUCACCAAGCCGACGAUCGGUAGCCGGACUGAGAGGUUGAACGGCCACAUUGGGACUGAGACACAGCCCAGACUCCUACGGGAGGCAGCAGUGGGGGAUAUUGCACAAUGGAGGAAACUCUGAUGCAGCAACGCCGCGUGAGGGAAGAAGGUUUUCGGAUUGUAAACCUCUGUUUUUAGUGAAGAAAAAAAUGUCGGUAGCUAAAGAGGAAGCCACGGCUAACUACGUGCCAGCAGCCGCCGUAAGAC